CGGGGAGGUAGUGACGAAAAAUAACGAUACGGGACUCAUCCGAGGCCCCGUAAUCGGAAUGAGUACACUUUAAAUCCUUUAACGAGGACCAAUUGGAGGGCAAGUCUGGUGCCAGCAGCCGCGGUAAUUCCAGCUCCAAUAGCGUAUAUUAAAGUUGUUGCGGUUAAAAAGCUCGUAGUUGAAUCUGUGUGUCACAGUGUCGGUUCACCGCUCGCGGUGUUUAACUGGCAUUAUGUGGUACGUCCUACCGGUGGGCUUAGCUCCUUGCGGGCGGUCCAACUAAUAUCCCAUCGCGGUGCUCUUCAUUGAGUGUCGAGGUGGGCCGGUACGUUUACUUUGAACAAAUUAGAGUGCUCAAAGCAGGCUACCUUCGCCUGAAUACUCUGUGCAUGGAAUAAUGGAAUAGGACCUCGGUUCUAUUUUGUUGGUUUCCGGAACCCCGAGGUAAUGAUUAAUAGGGACAGAUGGGGGCAUUCGUAUUGCGACGUUAGAGGUGAAAUUCUUGGAUCGUCGCAAGACGGACAGAAGCGAAAGCAUUUGCCAAAAAUGUUUUCAUUAAUCAAGAACGAAAGUUAGAGGUUCGAAGGCGAUCAGAUACCGCCCUAGUUCUAACCAUAAACGAUGCCAGCUAGCGAUCCGCCGAAGUUCCUCCGAUGACUCGGCGGGCAGCUUCCGGGAAACCAAAGCUUUUGGGUUCCGGGGGAAGUAUGGUUGCAAAGCUGAAACUUAAAGGAAUUGACGGAAGGGCACCACCAGGAGUGGAGCCUGCGGCUUAAUUUGACUC
rnacentral:rRNA from 1 species